GCCAGACUCCUACGGGAGGCAGCAGUGAGGAAUAUUGGUCAAUGGGCGAGAGCCUGAACCAGCCAAGUCGCGUGAGGGAGUACUGCCCUACGGGUUGUAAACCUCUUUUGUCGGGGAGCAAAAGCCGGACGUGUCCGGCUGUGAGAGUACCCGAAGAAAAAGCAUCGGCUAACCCCGUGCCAGCAGCCGCGGUAAUACGGAGGAUGCGAGCGUUAUCCGGAUUUAUUGGGUGUAAAGGGAGCGUAGACGGCGGCGCAAGUCCGGAGUGAAAGCCCACGGCCCAACCGUGGGACUGCUCUGGAAACUGUGCGGCUUGAGUGCGGGAGGGGCAGGCGGAAUUCCUAGUGUAGCGGUGAAAUGCGUAGAUAUUAGGAGGAACACCGGCGGCGAAGGCGGCCUGCUGGACCGUAACUGACGUUGAGGCUCGAAAGCGUGGGGAGCAAACAGGAUUAGAUACCCUUGUAC
rnacentral:rRNA from 1 species